rnacentral:siRNA from 1 species
AAUAAGUUGAGAAUCAAGUUCCU